GACGAACGCUGGCGGCGCGCCUAACACAUGCAAGUCGAACGGGAUCUUUUAGGAGUGCUUGCACUCUUGGCUGAUCUAGUGGCGGACGGGUGAGUAACACGUGAGCAACCUGCCCUGGAGUGGGGGACAACAUCUGGAAACGGAUGCUAAUACCGCAUAACAUCAGAGGAUGGCAUCGUCUUCUGAUCAAAGGAGAAAUCCGCUCUGGGAUGGGCUCGCGCCCGAUUAGAUAGUUGGUGAGGUAAUGGCUCACCAAGUCGACGAUCGGUAGCCGGACUGAGAGGUUGAACGGCCACAUUGGGACUGAGACACGGCCCAGACUCCUACGGGAGGCAGCAGUGGGGGAUAUUGCACAAUGGGGGAAACCCUGAUGCAGCGACGCCGCGUGGGUGAAGACGGCCUUCGGGUUGUAAAGCCCUGUCUUCGGGGACGAUAAUGACGGUACCCGAGGAGGAAGCCACGGCUAAUUACGUGCCAGCCGCCGCAGUAAUAC
rnacentral:rRNA from 1 species